rnacentral:rRNA from 1 species
CCUACGGGUGGCUGCAGUGAGGAAUAUUGGUCAAUGGACGCAAGUCUGAACCAGCCAUGCCGCGUGCAGGAAGACGGCGCGAUGAGUUGGAAACUGCGUUUGUAGGAGGGGAAAUCCCGAUACGUGUAUCGGGUUGAAAGUAUCGUACGAAUAAGGAUCGGCUAACUCCGUGCCAGCAGCCGCGGUAAUACGGAGGCUUCAAGCGUUAUCCGGAGUUAUUGGGUUUAAAGGGUGCGUAGGCGGUUCGUUAAGUUAGAGGUGAAACCCCGGGGCUCAACUCCGGCACUGCCUCUGAUACUGUCGGGCUAGAGUUUAGUUGCGGUAGGCGGAAUGUCUUGUGUAGCGGUGAAAUGCAUCGAGAUCAUUCAGCACACCGAUUGCGAAGGCAGCUUACCAAACUACGACUGACGUUGAGGCACGAAAGCGUGGGGAGCAAACAGGAUUAGAUACCCUGGUAGUC